UACGGAGGGUGCGAGCGUUAAUCGGAAUUACUGGGCGUAAAAGCGCGCGUAGGCGGCUUCGUCAGUCAGAUGUGAAAAGCCCCCCGGGCUCAACCUGGGAACUGCAUUUUGAUACUGCGGAGCUAGAGUAUGGUAGAGGAUAGUGGAAUUCCAGGUGUAGCGGUGAAAAUGCGUAGAUAUCUGGAGGAACAUCAGUGGCGAAGGCGACUGUCUGGACCAAUACUGACGCUGAGGUGCGAAAAGCGUGGGGAGCAAACAGGAUUAGAUACCCCUGAAC
rnacentral:rRNA from 1 species